ACCACAAUAAUGGCCGUUUCUGUUAACUGUCAUUAAUUAUCGACUGAAAUAACCACUUGCUACUUGAUUUUUACAUAAAAAGUCUAGUUUCAUCCAUUUCUGGUAAUAUUCCAUUACGCGUUGGCCAUUGUCGUGUGUGUUAACUCGAAACAGUGAUGAAAAUGAUUUUUCGAUAAUAUUGAUUUUUUUGUUAGCGUCGAAAGUAUUGAUUAACUUAUUUAUCUAAUGUCGAAAAUUAGUGAAACAAAGUUUGAACCGUGUUUAACGAGUUUUACUAAAUAUAAACGGUGUGUGAAGUUCGUGAAAAUGUCUUUUCGUCGAAAUAGUGACUUUUGGAGACAUGUAAAACUGAUUAAGACAAGUUAUGGUGAUUUAAAUAGUUCUAAUCAUAGCAGGAAUAACUGAGCAGAUCAAUUCAACAGAAAACCUGACUUUUCAUCUAAAAUGUAAGAGGUACCUACAGGCGUACAUUGCAUGGCAACUUCAUGGAAACCAAAGAAGGCAGUGAGCGCCUACACCGAUCUGUAUUCCAUUGAGAUAUUAUCUGAGGAUAUCAAGAGGAUAAAAGAAAUAAUGCGACGCCUAUGGAUUUUGAUAUUCUAAUGGGAAACUUUUCAUUUUAUUUGUGUUUAAUUUUUGAUCGUUAUUUUUUUUAUCAUGUUUGCAAAAUCUACUGUUGAAUAUUUUCGCUUGUUUAAAAUGAAAAGUUUCCAUUUUUUUUGCUUUUUAAACUCUACAUAAAAUCGUAUAUUAUGUUUAAUAAAUUUUUUUUUCAAAUUGAGACGUAUAUUGUUGAAAAAAAAAGAGAAAUUGUUAAUUUUCUAUGUUCUAUCGACUAAUUUAAAUAACGUAUCUUGAUAAUAAUGGAAAUUCGUCGUUUAUUUUCCUUGUUUUCUUUUUCUAUGCGUAUUUCAGAUACGCACGCUUCUGUCUUGGAGAAAUUCUUCAAGUAAGAUCUUGCUGUAGUCUGUUUGGAAAUAAUUCGCGACAUUUCCGAACGGGCAUUGAAAAAAUGUCAUAGGUCGUCCCGGUGGUUGUAAAUCAUGAAAAUAUGAAAAUACAUACAUACGCCUAUGACAUUUCUUCGUUGCCUUUGUCAAACAACUUGUUCCAAAAAGACUGAAAUAGCAUCUUGAACAAAUGGUCAUGAACCAAAGUUGCCCCUUCACGGGGUCAACCGGUGCGCGGCUCAUGACUUGAAGGAGACCCAUAGAAAGGAUUCCUUUAUGUCUAGCUCUUGCAGCGAACCGGCCCGUGAAGGGGAAUCUGAAUACCAUGGAACCGAAGCGGUUUUUUGUUAACUUUUUAACCGAUAAAAAAUGCAAAAAUAUCGCACACUGGCGGACAAACACUGAACUAAGAGCGCCCUCUGGCAAACAAACGCUGAACUAAGAGCGCCCCCAAACAGGAAAACGCUGAACUAAAUAGCUCAAGGGCUAGAUGGCGUUAUGUUAGGAGUUUGUUCGCCAGAGAGCGCCUUUUUUAGUUCCAUGAUUGUCCGCUAGGGUGUGUUUAUAUUGUGCAAAAGGAACGUUUUAUUGAAAUCAUAAUAUAUACAUUGUUUAUAUAAAACAAAAUCAUAAAAAAAGGUCGAAAAACAAUUUUUGCUACCAAGUUCCGUUUCUUAUUACAAGUACGAAAGUUUUGAACGUUUUUUUUUUCAAAGAAAACAAUUACACCUUGCAGAAGAUAUACGGGUCUAUCGAGACCCUUUGCAUAUGGUUUUUCCUUUUUGUUCGCAUCCCAAGGGAUACCGCAUCACUUUCAGACCCCAAUUUAAGGAUAAUAAUUGGCCCCUGAAAGUGACGCGAUUUCCUUAGGAAGCAAACAAAAAGUAACGUACACUUACCAUUUCUGUAGAUGUAAUUGUUUCUUCGUUGGAAAACGUUCGAAACUUCGUUCCAUAUUUUUUCUUACCUAAAUUACAAGAAAUGCGGUGUUAGUAGCAAAAAUUCAAUUUCUAAUAAAGAAAUUUUUGCUUAAUUUAUAAAAAUAUCCUUUUAUAUGUCGAAAGUUUAAUUUAAAUCAAAUUGAUUAACUAGAAAAUAUUGGGUUAUAAAUAAAAUUGAGGUUAUGGACAUUUUUAUAAAUUAAAAUAUCUAUUAUACAAAACGUUAAAUCGAGGGUAAUCCAUUAUUGAUGCAAAUGCUCAUUUGCUUAUGUUUAUUCCCAAAGUUAAAGUUGUUAAUUUGCUAUUUUAUUAUUUUAUCUAUUAAUUGUAACUUUGAAAAUAUACAAUCAAAUAGAAAACUUUUUUUUUAAUAAAUUAACUGAUGAAUUACCCUUAAUCGUAGUGGUAUGAUCGACUUUGCAAUUAAAAAUUAUAAAUAUUUGACUGCAAUUUCGAUCAUUCCCUUAUAAAUAAAUAAAACAAAUUAAAAAUUAAUAAAAAUGGAAAAAUUAUACAACUAAAAUAAUUUUUUAAAUGAAUUAAUUAAAAAAACAUAUAAGCGUCUUUUUAUUACCAACAUCCUGUGUGUAAGUGUAUACUUUAAUUAUUUUAUCAACGUUUCGAAAGUAGCUCCAAUCAUAAUCAGUGGGUUAUGCAUAUAAAUGAAAAUAGUUUUACAAAAGAAUAUUUAUUUAUAUGGAUUAGGGGGUAGCUUUGUUUAUCUAUAGAAAACUACAAUGAAAAAACCGUUUUCCGUUAAUUUGGGAGGAAUUCGAUACAUUUUUAUGCGGAAAAAAUUAAAAGCAUUGUCUCGUAAUUUUUUUGAGAAUUUCGAGGUUAGAUUAUGAAAUUUUUUAUCACAAAAAUGUAUCAAUAUGUUUCAAAAUUUAGAAAAUCUAAAUAAGUUUUUUAAUAAUAGAAAUUGGGAAAAAUAAAAAACGACAAGAUGUGUCCACGGGAUGAAAGUUUGAUAAAAGAAUUUUGAGUUUUUUUCCACACGAAACUAUCGAUUAUUUUCAAAAUUGAUGAAAAAGUACUUUUGUGAGUCAUAUUUUUGAAAAUAUUUCCGAAAAAUGAUAUUUUUUGAAAUAGAAGAUAAAUAAAAAGGGAAAGCUGCUAAUCUUUGUAUUUUUUUUUUCGAGAAUUUAAAAAUACAAAAAUGUGGAUAUGUUUCAAAAUUUGUGUUGAUUAAAACUAUGAAUUUUUAUAAAUCGAAAUUCUAAUGGGAAAAAAGUUUCCUUCAAACUCUAUUAUUUCAAAUAUUCUCGUAGCCUUAUAUAAAAUCAGAAUUCCUUUCCAUAAUAUUCAAUAUAUGCAUAAUCAUAUAGGCAAUAAACAAAGAAAAAGAACAAUAACUUCUUUACGAAAAAAAAAUAUCAAAAUUAAAAAUCAACAGUGUGCGGUAUAAACCUUUGAAUUUGGCAACACAGUUACCAUAAUUCAUCGUGUUUCACAAGCUAUUAUUGCCGCUAUAAAAUAGAUCUGGAUGCCUGUAUCUCUCAAACAAACGUAAAGAAAAGGGAAGAUAAGAAAAUACCCCGAAAUUGAGUUGCAUGUGACGAAAUCUCGUUAUCAGUAAUGUGGUAGCAAGUGUUAGGGUGAAACUCAAGCGAACAGGAAACUAUAUCAAAGCAUAGUUGCGAAACGUGUGCCUUUUGAAUAGGUUUGAUACUGUGACUCCAAUAAUACUGAUUGAUAAGAAAAAAAAAGGUUAAGGAAGAUACAGGACUAGAUGACAAAUAAAGAAGGGGUUGAAAACAAGGUUAUAUUUAAAUAUAAGAGUGUCGAUUAGAAAAAAAAUCGUAUGUACGUCACUGUUUAGUACCUUACUCGCGAAAUUGCACUUUUUCAGCGAAAUAACGUCCAUAAAAUCCUCUUCCGAGUCCCUUGAGGUUCGUUUCCAUGGAAGGAUAAUGAAAAUUCAUCCUGUGAGCCUGAGAGAUUUGGCGUCGAGGAUUCAAACCAUUAGAGGAAACGACCGAACUUAUCAACAGUCAUUACGAUUUUAUAAAUAGUUCGUUAUGAAAAUUACGUACCGGAAAUAAAUAAAUUCAAUACACAUUUUUAAUAAUAUUACUUCAAAAAAAAAUAAAAACUGUUGUCCACUGUUGCCAAUACAAUCUAAUAUUCGUUAAAAAUACAAGGGUUGCUACUUGAGUUUCGAGAUAUGGCAACACUUAUGUGAAUCACAUUACCAUCAUAAAGUUUGACAUUUUUAACUUAGUAGUUAUUUACAGAUACUCGAAAUAUUUUUAUUUUGAUCAAAAAGUGAAAUAGAAUCGCGAAAAAAUGAAGACUAUUUUGAUAAACAAGAAAGCCAUAUCCAAUUAUAAAUAUUCGUUUUCAUCUGACUUCAGUUGCAGCUCUCGUAGAAUAUUUUGUUAUAAUGAAUCGGUACGUAAUUUCAAAUUUUGUUGCAGAAGGUGUCGAGCGCUCCCACCAAAAUUUAUCAACGCAUCCGUGCACUACUUAAAAUUUUGGCACGCGCGCUGCCCAACGCUCCCACCAAAAUUUGAAAUUUAUAGGCUCGUCGGUGUGCUACUAAAAUUUUGUUAGAUGCACUUUUGACACACCCGCCAAAAUUUUAAAACAGCAAAAAAGCAAAAUUUCAUGGGGAUAAUUCGAAUAAUUGGAUAAUUUUGAAUAAGAAAAAUACGAAAAUUGAAAAAAAAAUCGAGAAAGAAAUAAACGGCAGUUAUUGUAAUAAUUAUCGAGGAUGAAAUUAAUUAUAUACUACCUAAAUACAUGGAUAGGAAGAAAAGGACCAACUCAUUUGGCAACAUUAAAUAAAAUAGACUUCAUUUAAACAUAUUUUGUUCGGAAAAUCUACAAAUAAUUAAUGAUAUAAUUAGAAAUAUGGAUUAACUAAAAAAAAAACACAUUUUUUGCCAAAAAUCGAUUAUAUCCAUCAACAAUCAAUCAACUUUAUCACUCUUGGUUAUCAUUAAAAAUGUCGUAGAUACGUUCUUCGAUUGGUUAGAUUGUUCUUAUUGUAAUUUGGUCUUUGUUUAUAUAAUAACGCAGUUAUCGAAACAGACCACGACAGAAAUAAAAAAGUUGCAAGAAGGAAUUUAGAAAAACGUUAAAUUUAAUAAUAAUUUGGUAUUAAACGCAAACAAAACGUCCUUACACUACAGG